rnacentral:rRNA from 1 species
AGAAUGAACGCUGGCGGCGUGCUUAACACAUGCAAGUCGAGCGAGGCCAGGGGGCAACUCCCUGAGUCGAGCGGCGGACGGGUGAGUAACACGUGGGUAACCUACCCGGAAGUGGGGAAUACCUCGGGGAAACUCGAGCUAAUACCGCAUAACAUCUUUGGAACGAAAGUUCUGACGAUCAAAGCGGGGUCGCAAGAUCUCGCGCUACCGGAUGGGCCCGCGCCCGAUUAGCUAGUUGGUGAGGUAAUGGCUCACCAAGGCGACGAUC